UACUAAAGUCAAAGAGAGAAAAAAAAAAGGAAAUUUCUUGAAGAAAGAGAGAGAGUGAAGAUUAAUUAGCAAAGAAUCAUGACAACCCAAACGAAAGAGCUUGAAGAUCAUAUAGCUCUUAUCUCCCAAAUGUACCCUGGCCUAUACACUCAAGUUGCACCACAAGAAGGCGAAGCGAAGCCUCGACGAAGACGGAGGAAGAACAAGGGAGGGGAAAGCGGCGCUGCAGCGGCAGCUAAGAAAAGGAAGCUUAGUGAUGAACAAGUUCAUCUUCUUGAACUUAAUUUCGGAAAUGAACAUAAGCUCGAGUCCGGACGUAAAGACCGGCUUGCUUCGGAGUUGGGGCUCGACCCUCGGCAGGUGGCGGUUUGGUUCCAAAAUCGAAGGGCCCGUUGGAAGAAUAAGAAGCUUGAGGAGGAGUACAGCAAACUAAAGGCAGUCCAUGAAGGCGUUGUUCUUGAAAAAUAUCGGCUUGAAUUGGAGAUUUUAAAACUUAAAGACCAACUUCGAGAGGCGGAGAAAGAAAUCCAAGGGUCAACGGAACGAGUCGACGGGGUGUCGAGUAACAGUCCGUGUUCAUCAUCAGUAUAUUCAAUGGAAGCCGUGGAUCCACCACCUUUCCUUGGGGAAUUUGGAUAUGAUCAAGAUGUUUUCCAUAUAGGACAAAAUAGUUAUAUUCAAGGCCUGGAGUGGAUGAACCUAUAUAUGUAAUUAACUAGUAUGUGUAGAUAAUUAUGAUCUCUAUAUAUCAAAUAUAAUGUAAUUAAUCCUUAACAAGGAACUCUAAAUUUAGACAUUAAUGUUA